GGAGAACUCAAGCGUUACCCGGAAUCACUGGGCGUAAAGCGUUGCGUAGGCUGUUUUGCAAGUCGGAUCUUAAAGGCCAAGGCUCAACCUUGGAACUGGGUACGAUACUACAAAACUAGAGGAUGGUAGAGGUCAGUGGAAUUGCUGGUGUAGGAGUGAAAUCCGUAGAUAUCAGCAGGAACACCAAUGGCGAAGGCAGCUGACUGGGCCACUCCUGACGCUGAGGCACGAAAGCGUAGGUAGCGAACGGGAUUAGAUACCCCGGUAGUCUACGCCGUAAACGAUGGAUACUGUCUGUCGGGAGUAUCGACCCUCUCGGUAGAGAAGCUAACGCGUUAAGUAUCCCGCCUGGGGAGUACGGCCGCAAGGCUA
rnacentral:rRNA from 1 species